CUCGCCUACCUUGCCCAGCCAGGCUCCCAUCUCUCACCAGCAGGCCCUCUCUUCCCUUUGGAGCCUGCAAGGCUCACUGUGUCCUCAGGCCCCCUGGGGCCCCCUGCACCCCCAGGCCUGCCAGCCCCUCCCUCUUCGGGCUCUUCCCUCGGCGCCUGGCCUCCCUCUCUGCGAUUCACUCUUCCUUUACUCGGGAUCCCCCUUCUGGCCCUUCUCUGGCCUCCAGCCACCUGGGCAGACUUCUCAACUGUCCCUACAUCUUUCCUGCCCCGUCACCUGCUCCUUCCAUCUCCCCACCUUUGGGUCAUUUUGCAGACCGUUCCAGGGGCCCAAUGCCCCUGCCACCAGCGGGCACCCGGCCCGCUCAGAGCUCUGUGAGUCAGGCACCUGCUGGACGCAGGGAGCAGCCCAGGGUGGGCAGCUGUGGGGCCGCCUGGCGGGCCCUCCAGCGCUCCGGGAAGUCCCCUUCUCCACAGACAGAAGCCAGGAAAGACUGGACUGGCCAGAAAUGGGGGCACCCACCUCUGUACUCUUCUGUCUGCCCAACUGGGCCAGAUAGCUCGAGUUGGGGCAGUCCCAAAGUGACAGCGUGUCCCCCGAGGAAGGUGAGUCCUGGGGGAUGCUGACUGAUGGAGCGUGGGGAGGGGUGACCCCUGAGAGCCGGAAGCGGAGCCCGGGCCCGCUGCCCUCUCCAGAGAGCAGAGGGCCAUGUGGUCAGGGUUCAAACUGUGCUUCUUCGCUUUGGCCCCUGCAGACUCCUCAGUCUUGACACCGCCUUCCUGCGGGCUGAGCGCCCUUGACCUGAGAACACUCCCUCGCACUGGUGCCUCUUCCCUGGAUUGAGGGUCUGGGGAGCCCGGAUCCCGCCUGCUGAUGGUCUCAAGUUUGCAAAUGUUUGUGAAGUGAAUGCAAUUUAUCAGGAAUCUACAACCUUAGGCUCUGACUUUUAAUGCCAAGGGC
rnacentral:lncRNA from 1 species